UCAGACCAGCGAGCAGCAACAAAGACUGGGAGGACACGGACUUCCUGCCAAAACAGGCUUCAUUAAACCCAACAGCCAGUUACUGGAAGCAAAGCUCCAUCAGAGGCAGGAGACGUCGGGCUGAAACAUCACAGACAUUUCAUCUGAAGGUACUGGGCUGCUGUACGAAGAGAAAAGGUCAGACUGAUGGAAAGCAACGUUCAGGAGUCCAUGGAGGAAAGAAGACAGGAAGUCACAAAUGGCAAAGGAAACAAAGACGUAGAUCAAAACUCCCUGAAGACGAACAAUGAGGCUGAUGAGGACAACGAUGAGAAGAAAAGCAGCGACCGUUCCAAAUAUAAAACGGUGUCCUACAAGAAGAUUCGCAAAGGAAAUACGAGACAGAGAAUUGAUGAGUUUGAGGCCAUGUUUAACUUGUGAUCACAGCAUAAAUAAAAAUGAAUCUUAAAAAGUAGAGGACUGAGGACAGAACCCUGUGGAGCUCCGCCAAUCUUCUUUAGUAUUUUUCAGUAACUUGACUUUCAACUCGUUUUAGUUUUGUCUGUCUAGCACCAAAUUCAAACAAAACAUUACCUUGAAGAAAUUUUAACACAAUCAGACAAAAAAAGAAUCAAAUUAAUUAAACUUUUAUUUCAGUUUCA